AUGUCUUCCUCGGACUCCUCCUCUCCCUGCACGCGGCGUCGCGGCAUGGUGCCGCCAUGGACACGGUGUCAGCCGGCAAUGGGCAUGGGCUCGCCGGCACAGACAGGCUCGUCUCCAACAACAGCAAGUUUGCGCUCGGCUUCUUCAAGAUGGACAGUAAGUCCUCUCACACCUACCUCGGCAUCUGGUUCAACAAGGUCCCUAAGAUAA
rnacentral:rRNA from 1 species